CAUGUGAGUCCAAACUCUCCCUUAAUUGUCUCACUCCUGCAGGGAAAGCAUAACUCUCAAACCUGGGCACUGUGUCACCAGCAGCCUCUAGAAACACAUUCCUUUCUAUAUUUAUCAAGCCUCUACACUGACUUCCUCCAAUUGUGCUUUUUUCCAUCUCUUAUCUGUUAUUUAGGGCACCACGGGCAGCCCAGGAAGAACAGGACUGGCUGGAUCCCCAGGUCCUCAGGGAGGAAAGGGUUCAUCAGGCCCUCCGGGAAGCCCUGGUGUUCCGGGCCCAAAGGGUGAACAAGGGUUACCUGGUCAGCCUGGAAUCCCAGGCCAAAGAGGUCAGCGGGGAACACAAGGAGACCAAGGACGACGUGGAGAGCCUGGUCUGAAAGGGCAGCCUGGAGAACAUGGCAAUCAAGGUUUGACAGGUUUCCAAGGAUUCCCGGGCCCCAGGGGUCCAGAGGGGGAUGCUGGUAUCAUUGGCAUUGUAGGCCCUAAAGGUCCCGUUGGGCAGAGAGGAAACACUGGCCCUCUUGGCAGAGAAGGGAUAAUAGGCCCAACAGGUGGAACUGUAAGUUCAUUACAACAUAGUUUUUAUUCU
rnacentral:sRNA from 1 species